AUGGAGAUACACGAACCGAAAAGAAUCAUACUACCCUCAUCAUAUAAUGGCAGUCCAAGAAAUAAGCAGCAAAACUACCAAGAUGCCAUGGCGAUUUGUCGUUGGGCUGGCUAUCCUGAUCUCUUCCUUACUUUUACAUGCAAUCCAAAAUGGCUGGAAAUACAAGAUAUGUUGGAUCUGAUUCCAGGCCAGAAACCUGAAGAUCGUCCAGAUAUUGUUGCCAGAGUAUUCAUGUUAAAACUGAAGGAACUUAUGAAUGACAUAAAGAACGAAAAGUGUUUUCGACAAACAAUUGCAAUUGUCUACACUAUAGAGUUCUAG
rnacentral:rRNA from 1 species